ACAGGGUGUGCUGCAGGAAGCUGUGCGGAGAAACAGUUAAUGUCUUGAGUCUGAUCUAACUCUUGUUCAGACCUGGAAAAUGCUAGGGUUUCUGUUGUAGACCGAGGAGAACAGAUGCUACUCGGAAUUCUUAACUCAGCAGAAUUCCCACAUUCUGCCUCAUCCAUCACCACAUUGAAGACAAUCAACCAGCCAGAAAGAUGAGGGAGAGUGAGAUCUACAGUCUUCAAUAAAUCCUGCAGAUAAGGGUGAUACCAUCUUUCCUCAUGGAAUUCACUCAUGCUACCUGCCAGAAACAUACUGUCAUGCAUCUCCAGCAAUCAAAGGGAUAGAGGAUCAGUCAGCCAAGUUUCCAGAGAAAAUGGCCUUGCCCUUCCCUCGAUUUCUCUUGGCUCCUGAGGCCAGUUCGAAUACAACAGAAUAAAUAAACCUCGGCCAGUAAGCCAUCACUUCCGGGUCUUUUAAUCUUUUCUAAGGACUUGAGGGCCUUCGUCAGCUCAUUCAGAGGUAACGGCUGAUCUAGCCCCUCCCACAUGCUGCUGUCUAAGAUCUCCAUAAUACAGAAAGGAACGACUGUGAGGCUGCGCUGUCUGUGGACUUCGUAUCGUACAGACUGGCAUAAAUGGAUUUGCUGAUUCUCAGGA